rnacentral:lncRNA from 1 species
CUAAAGGAGAGCUACUGGCCAUUGUGACUUCAUGCUGAUUCAAUAUGCCUAAAGGAGAAAGGCUGGCCAUUUUGUCCCCAUACUGGUGUGGCCGGCUGGCCAUUGUGAUCUCAUGCCGAUCCAGGCUGCAUCCAGGUAAGGGACCUGCUGUUGUGACUUCAUACUGAUUCAACAUGCCUGAAGGAGAGAGACCAGUCCUUGCGACCUUGUGCUGGUGUCACCUGCUAGAAGACUGAUGAACUGACUCACAGGGAAUAGGGGUCACUGCUGUAACAGGCCCUGAACUAGCAGGGGGCCAGACUCUGGGCUUUCAUUUUUUAAAAAGCAAAAAGUAAGUUUCUAGCACCAGUACAUUUCUGAGCACAAUUCAAAGUGUUGGUGCUGACCUUUAAAGCCCUAAACAGCCUCAGUCCAGUAUAUCUGAAGGAGCGUCUCCACCCCCAUCAUUCUACCCGGACACUGAGGUCCAGCACCGAGGGCCUUCUGGCGGUUCCCUCACUGCGAGAAGCCAAGUUACAGGGAACCAGGCAGAGGGCCUUCUCGGUAGUGGCGCCCUCCCUGUGGAACGCCCUCCCACCAGAUGUCAAAGAGAACAACAACUACCAGACUUUUAGAAGACAUCUGAAGGCAGCGCUGUUUAGGGAAGCUUUUAAUGUUUGAUGUAUUACAGUAUUUUAGUAUUUUUUUGGAAGCCUCCCAGAGUGGCUGGGGAAGCCCAGCCAGAUGGGUGGGGUAUAAAUAAGAUAUUAUUAUUAUUAUUAUUAUUAUUAUUAUUAUUAUUAUCAUCAUCAUCUGUAAAACUAAGGUUCCAAAGCAAAACGAGCAGGCAGACUUCCUUCAAAGAAAUUGCUUUGCUAGAGAUGUGUCUGCUCCCACCUUUCAGUGUUUAAGCCAAUGAGUGCAUUAACGGCUGAGAUUGACGUGUGCUAUAGAGAAAUGUAGGGCAACACACUUAUUAAAGAAGUGUCAAAAGGUGGCCUCAGAAUUACUCAUGAAGUCUUUUCUCCAUUUGCUGCUUCGUUGUGAAGUUGGGUUUGGGUCUUCCUUGGUGCGUGCAUCACUUUUAACAUUUUCUCUCUAGAUUCAAGGCAAUGGAGGGCUGCCUGGUUCAAUUUGAAGUCAGGUUUGGGUCUCCCCUGUUUGUUGCCUAGAGAAAAUAAUGGAGGAACCCAGGUUUUUUUAGCGUAGAGGUGUCUGGGCAUUAGCAGGCCCACGAAAAGGAAAAGGUGGAAGCAAAGACAAGAGUUCGUGCUCUUUCUAACUCAAGGUUGAAUUUUAUGCAAAAACAAGUGGGUUUUGUUGAUUAUGUAAACAUUAUAAUAAAAAACCUGCUAAUGCAAAUAAAAUCCAUCAUUAGUAACAGUGGGGGGGUUAAUUGCUUUUCCACAAACACAGGGAAAAUAAAGAAAUUUUGGAAAGUGGGUUGUUUCUGCUGGUACGAACACUUAAGUGGGUAUAUUUAUGUCAAAGGUUCAAUCCUUUGCUCAAAAGAAAAAGGAUGAAAAGGGUGGUUCAUUGGCCUGUGCUGGAAACAUUGCUGUAGUUUUAAUGGGGUCUAAAUAAUAAAUAACAACAAGUACUCUUAGAAUACUUGCAUGUUGACUAUUUAAUCUUGAAUUUUUCAAAGCAUGGAGACCUGAACCUUGGGUGCUUGUAUAAGUUGAAUCUCUUUCAACCUUAAGCACACCACACCAUAUGAUAUACCAUACUUGUAUUUGCCAGCUUCAGAUCAACUGAUGAAAGACAUACAGUAGAAUAACAAGCUUCCAGCUCAUGAAGCUGUGGGGCAAGCAGAAAUUCAACAGGUCAAGCCUUUUCUAAUACGCCAAUAUAAUUAUGGGGAAAGCUGUACCUACUGCCAUUCAGUCUGUUGGACGUCUUAUUACUUGCUUGUGACCCCUGAUUUAUUUUUCAGUCCUCCACCCACCAGCAAAAGGGGAUGCAAAUGACACAAAGCAUAUACAAACAUAGGUCCUCUUUUGCAAAUGGGGCAACGAACUCAAUCCACAUGCAGUGUGCUGGGCGAAGAAAAUAUUUCCUAUAUACUAUAGGAAAGACCAACAAAGGAAAGAGGACACACCGAUUAGUCUACACAUUGCUGACCAUUCUCUUGAGGAUGUAUUUUACACCCUGCGCUAGGCAGGUCUUUCGUAACCAUAUUUCUUUACUUUUCCAUCCUCUCAAAUGCAGGCAUUGCUGUCCUUCAAUGCAUGACAGAGCCAAGAUGCAUGUCAUACCAAUCACACUUUUUUUUAAAGCUACAUUUAAUUUGAAAGAAACUGGUUUCUCACUUUUUUAUUAUUAAACAUAUUUAUAUACCACUAUAUCAAAAAGACAUAUCAAAGUGGUUUGCAACAGUAAUUUUUUUAAAAAAAACAACAACCACAGAAUAAGAGCAUAAAAAGUUAAAACAAAGAUCAGUGAACCACUGUAGGGGAUGCAAUCUUAAUUGCCUACAUAGGCCUGGCAGACUAGAGAGGUUUUCAGCAGGCAUUUAAAAAUUGCAGCAAAAGCACCAACUUCUGUUAGCAGUGGAAUCCCUCCUUGACUCCUACUUGCCACCAUUGGGAGCAUAGCUGUCAACCGUCCCUUAUUUGGCAGGAAACUCCCUUAUCCCAGCGCCAUGUCCCGCUGCUGUCCCUUAUUGAUGAUGUCCCUUAAAUUUCCCGGGUUUCAAAGGAAGCAGCUCCUCUCCCUCCCUCCCUGCCAGCCAGGGAGGAGGGAGGCUCCAACUGUGUUGCUUGGCUGCGUUGCUCACCCAAUAAGGAGUCUAAGAACGACCAGGGGGGUGGAGCUUGCAUGCCUUGUGCCGAUCAAAUCGGCCGCAUUGCCUGGGGACUCACCUUUGCUCAGCGCUUCCCAGCAGAGAGGUGACGGUAGUUUUCCUUGCUGCAUCCCCUUUGCUGGGUUGCUGCGCUGUGGGAACCACCGCUUGAGGCUUCGUUUGGCUGCUGGCUGGGCUUUCUGCCUUUGGCUCGGAGGGGCUCAGAAGUUGAACAUACCUGUGCCCGGAAAAUCCCUUAUUUUGGCUGCUGAUCCCUUAUUUUUGAGGCUGCUGGUCCCUUAUUUUCAAAUCUGUAAGUUGACAGCUAUGAUUGGGAGGAGGGGAGUGAGAGCAUCAGAGAGUCAAUUUGAGAGGAGUUGGAGUUAUCCCCAUAGAGAAGAAUGGGAAAAUACAGUAAAAAGAAAAUCCUAAUUUAGUCUAGCCUACUUCUGCCUUCCACACACAGAGCUUCCAUUCAUUGGCCUCAAUCAGACAAGAGUAGGAUUAGACCCAGAGAGAAGGAGCACAGUCUCUCAAAACACAUGGGACUAUGCAAAUGUCUGGGACACCUUUACUCUCAUGGCUUUUAAGUAAUUAAAUACCAGUAUCUAUCUGUCCCCUGGAAACUUUCUCCUUACGAUGAUGCAAAUUACUGAUUAUGAUAAUCUUGUUUCUGCUUUACACGGCUUGGAUAACCUCACAUUAUUUAUGAUGCUAUAACUCAUUCGCAAGCACACUAAGUGCCAUAUUAGCAUGGCUGCUCUGGCCACUGUGAUUAGCCAACAAAGGAAUAAACAGGGUAACAACUUUUGACUGUGUUUUUAAAGAAGCAAAAGCAUAAUUGUUUCUUGUACCGUAAUUUGCUUUCAUUAUGUUUUGCAGCAUUCCUGGUGAUGUGAGGGGUAGAGGUGGAGCCUUAUGAAUACAAUUAAAGCGCAG